UACAGAGGUCUCAAGCGUUGUUCGGCUUCAUUGGGCGUAAAGGGUGCGUAGGCGGCGCGGUAAGUCGGGUGUGAAAUCUCGGGGCUUAACUCCGAAACUGCAUUCGAUACUGCCGUGCUUGAGGACUGGAGAGGAGACUGGAAUUUACGGUGUAGCGGUGAAAUGCGUAGAUAUCGUAAGGAAGACCAGUGGCGAAGGCGGGUCUCUGGACAGUUCCUGACGCUGAGGCACGAAGGUCAGGGGAGCAAACGGG
rnacentral:rRNA from 1 species